ensembl:misc_RNA 7SK 7SK RNA
GGAUGUGAGGGUGAUCUGGCUGUGAUCUCUGUCACCCCACAGAUUGUCAGGGUUGAUUUGGCUGACCUGGCCAGGUGGAUGUCCCUUCCUUCCUCACUGCUCCACAUGUGUCCCACCUGAAGCUGUGUAUUCUGUCAAGAGGACAACUUUCCCUAAUGGGAGGACUGUCCUUCGGUCAAGAGUAUACAUGUAGCUGUGCUCCCCUGCUAGAAGCUGCAAACAAGCUCUCAAAACCACAAAGAAAUGAUAAAUGUCUGAGGAUCCAUAUACUAAAUAAACUUAUUUGAUCAUACACAAUUGUAUAUAUGUAUCA